GUGCAGCUUUGGUGGUGAUUUGAUUGUGCCGAGGGAGGGCCAUUUCAUCCCCUUUUCACAUGCCUUGGUGGGGCUUUUUGGAGGGGGAAUGGUCUUUUUGAUGGUGGAGGGUGAGUAGUGGUCUUUGGCUUGUUUUCAAUAUUAGGGUUUGUAGCCAUUGCUCAUAGGUCAUGUGUUUGUUGUUGUUGUAAAGCAUUGCUACUUCAAAUCUGUUUUGAAGUUUAUUGGGUUUUAUCCAAAACAACAUCCAUCUCUAUCUCAAGUGUGGCUCGAACACAAAUUUUGUCUUUACUGAAUUUUGAAAGUUGUGUGACAUGGAAACUUCCUUCUGUCCUCCCUAGAAAUUUCAAACUUUACUUCUUUUUUUAUAUAUCUAUUUAUUUUUUUCUAUUUUUUCUCUUUUCUACAGUGUUGGAGUUUUUAAAUGCAUAAAAAUGUAUGUGCAAGAAUUCAUGCAGCAUUACAUGAUUACACACUGCACAGCUAAAAAUAUGAAUACCACAUGGUUACAGGAUAGAAUUUUACUGAUACAAAAAUCCAUGUUAAUGUAUCAUUAUAAUGUAAAGCAUUAGUAACAACUGAGUGCUUCAAAUAAAAUUUGUCAUUAGAUUCUUCCAUUGAAAAUACAUGACAUCGUUCUAUAAAUUAUUUUGUGCAAUCCUCUUGGCUCAAUAAAAUCAAUCAUAUAUUCAAUGUUAAUAUUUAUAAAUAGAUGGAGUACAACAGUAAAUGUUUUUAAAUAGUGAAUAAAAUACUACUCCUGAAUGGCUAUUCAAUAAAGCCGUGGAAAUUUGUCAUGUGCUAUCUAACAGCUUUGAAUGCAUGUACCGCCUAAAUUCAAAUUUAUAUCAUUAUUCGGACCACCUUACUUAUUGCACUAUGAAAAAAAACAAACAAACAAACAAACAAACAAAACAAAACAAAACACCAAUCAUAUUAUUUCUUUUCCUUUUUAGGUUUUUAAGAAUUUGGGUGAUCUAGAAUUUUCUGAAUAACGGCAAAAAGUUUUCAAUUUUUUGCAUUGACUUUUCAAUAACAUAAUUUUUUCAUUUUUUAUUGUUCAAAUAAAAAAGAAUAAUGUAAUGACUUCUAAUGCAGAAUCCUGGAAUACGGCCAAUCAUAGAAUAUGAAAUUAAAUAUCUACACAAAAUUAGUUUUCAUCUUUUUCAGAAGAAAAAGUUACUGCGAGGAACCAGAAUAAACUAUCAACUUGGAGUAUAAUGGCAACAAAAUCAUUGUCUGUCUUUAACAUGUAGGUGUUAAUUGUUUGUGUCUUUUCUUUGAAUGUUGUAAGACACAUUAUCCAUUUAUUUUCUUUUGAAUCCAUUAAUGACCUUACAUGUAAAUAGGUUGUAAACCUAAAUUAUUUUCACACUUGCAAGUAUAAAUUCCAUAAUCUUUACAUGCACAAUAUUUUCACGUAAAUGUAAAUGUUUUCAUCAAUUGAAUAAUACAUACAUUAUCAAACCUCAGUAAAUUUAAUGAUAAUAAUAAUAAUAAUGAUAAGAUCAAAAUCACAAAGUACACUUACUUUUGCAGUAAAUCAACAGUGUCUAUGAUCAAUAUUUUUACUUUGCAAAAUAAUUUUUGAAACAAAUUAUACUUGAUACAUUGGCAUUAAGACUUUGAGUUUACAAAUUCAUAAUCUGAUAUUU
rnacentral:lncRNA from 1 species